GACGAAGGGGGCUAGCGUUGUUCGGAAUUACUGGGCGUAAAGCGCGUGUAGGCGGUUGCCCAAGUCGGGUGUGAAAGCCUUGAGCUCAACUCAAGAAAUGCACUCGGUACUGGGUGACUAGAGGACCGGAGAGGAUAGUGGAAUUCCCAGUGUAGUGGUGAAAUACGUAGAGAUUGGGAAGAACACCGGUGGCGAAAGCGCUCUGCUGAGCCAUAACUGACACUCAGGGACGAAAGCUAGGAGAGCGAAUGGG
rnacentral:rRNA from 1 species